CCGCACCACUGUGAACCUGGAAGCCAAGGAGCGUCGCUGCGCCGGCUGCCGUACGGGUUGCUGCCGUACGGGUUGCUGCACAGUAUCCUCGAUAUCCACAGCGUGGGAAGCGCUCAACGCGUAUGUCCAGCGUGAUACCACGCGUUAAACGACCACCGGCACGUGGUCAUCGACUUGCGGAAGAUCGCGGCGCCGGCUAGUAAUAGCUACGGGACCAAGUACCGACUGCCGCACUUGGUGGAGGUCCUGGAGCACACCGUCGGCCGGUGGACGCUGUCCCUGACGUUGAUGGACGGCGUCGUCACUCCGGGAUUGGAAGCAGCCGCUCACCGCUGCCUAUUCCGGAAGGGCAUCCGGCUGCCGAUGAUCAUCCUGCGAAAGGUCACGUGUCAACACCCACUGACCGCCAAUUACCCGCAGCAACACCUGGACUGGGCCAAACUCGGAUACUUCGUGAAGAUAUGCCGGACGUUGCACUUGCAAAAGGUCACGGUCAUGUCCCUCUUCGAGCCCAUCGCCCGGUUGUGGUGCUCGUAGCCGCGCGUCACCGGCGACCUGCAUGUCCUCUUGAAGAAGGCCUCCAUCAACUGUACACUGAAAACGGAAGCGAGCCAAGUGCGGGAGUUUCUCAGCGCGGUCAACCGCAGCUGCCGCGCAUUGACGGCCGCUGAAUGGGGCAACAUCAGUCGGGUUUGCGACGAACUAGCCGGUGACGAACUAACCGUUGACGCCGGCGGUCACUGGUUUCAUGUGGCGUUAAUGCUGAAACUGUUGAACGAGCGGCCGCAGUCACCGCUGUCCCGCCUGGCCGCCUACGCUUUCCUGUCCGCUAAAACAGGCCCCCCGUCGCCAACCCGUUCCGCCAGCGAGGUCACCG